rnacentral:rRNA from 1 species
CCUACGGGAGGCAGCAGUGAGGAAUAUUGGUCAAUGGUCGGGAGACUGAACCAGCCAAGCCGCGUGAGGGAGGAAGGUACAGAGUAUCGUAAACCUCUUUUGUCAGGGAACAAAGGCGGGGACGUGUCCCCGGAUGAGUGUACCUGAAGAAAAAGCAUCGGCUAACUCCGUGCCAGCAGCCGCGGUAAUACGGAGGAUGCAAGCGUUGUCCGGAAUCAUUGGGCGUAAAGAGUUCGUAGGCGGCAUGUAAAGUCAGGUGUUAAAGGCGCAGGCUCAACCUGUGUAUGGCACUUGAUACUUGCAAGCUGGAAUGCGGUAGAGGUAAAGGGAAUUCCUGGUGUAGCGGUGAAAUGCUUAGAUAUCAGGAGGAACAUCGGUGGCGUAAGCGCUUUACUGGGCCGUAAUUGACGCUGAGGAACGAAAGCCAGGGUAGCAAAUGGGAUUAGAUACCCCAGUAGUC